CUCGAGGCACUCUCCACACAUCCCUGCUCAGAAAGCUGCUUCCUUUUCAGCCAGCAAGAACAUUCACUUCCCAGGAGCCCCGGAUAGACCUCCUAUGUACAAAAGCAUCAGCCCCCAAAGGAAUCCAGGCGCGGCCCACACGUGAGCGACUUUGCAGGAGCGGUCAGAGUACAUACGGAAAUGGCGGGAUGAAGACAAGACCGCUAGAAGUUACGAGGCAAGGUGCUGCUGGAGCUCAGAGGAACGUGCAAGUGCCCUCUAGCAAAUAAAGAAGAAAAAAAGAGGAGGAAGAAAUACUGAAGGCGGGAUGGGAUGCAGGCGAGGAGGGAAAGCACAGGAGGGAGAAAUUCUGAGCAUCCCCAGAGUUGGGAAGUUCUACAUGACGACUUUGAGGUGACAUUGACCUCAGAGGGACUGUCUACCUCUAAAGUCUUCGGAAGCCAAGUGCUGUCACCAUCAUGGCCUCGUCUGAUCCCCAAGACAAACACAUGAAAGGCAGAUACUGAGUGCAAGUCCCAUUUUAUAGGUGAAGAAGGUGAAGAAGCAGAGACUCGAAAGGCCAGGCUCGCGCCAGUGGCAAGGGGCUAAGCAAGGAGAAGAGCACAGGUUUCCUGGGACUGCCUCAUCCUCUUUCCACGGGCAGCACUGGGAAUUUGGUGCUUUGAUGUUUUCACCAGCUCUGCUUUUCAUUAUCCAGGUUUACACAAUUUUACAAAAUUACUAAUUAUCACAGUUAACUUCUCUUUGAGGAACACCCAUUGAAGGAAAAAGAAGAAAAUUGACACAGGCACAGCUAAUGUGACUUUUUUUUCCCCUUGCUUACGUAUUUCCUCUAUAUUUAGUUUUACUCGAAAAAUCAUGUUGAUUGGAUUUUAGAAAACUGUUCCCCAUAAGAUUUUCAAUUGUUAAAAAAAUAAAGAAUAC